UACGUAGGGACCAAGCGUUGUCCGGAAUCAUUGGGCGUAAAGCGCGCGUAGGUGGCUUCGUAAGUCCGUUGUGAAAGUCAAAGGCUCAACCUUUGAAAGCCGAUGGAUACUGCGAAGCUAGAGUACGGAAGAGGCGAGUGGAAUUCCUGGUGUAGCGGUGGAGUGCGCAGAUAUCAGGAGGAACACCAAUAGCGAAGGCAGCUCGCUGGGACGUUACUGACACUGAGGCGCGAAAGCGUGGGGAGCGAACAGG
rnacentral:rRNA from 1 species